rnacentral:rRNA from 1 species
CCUACGGGUGGCUGCAGUGGGGAAUAUUGCACAAUGGGGGCAACCCUGAUGCAGCGAAGCCGCGUGAGCGAUGAAGUAUUUCUGUAUGUAAAGCCCUAUCAGCAGGGAAAUAAAUUGCGGUACCUGACUAGGAACCCCCGGCUAACUACGUGCCAGCAGCCGCGGUAAUACAUAGGGGGCAAGCGUUAUCCGGAUUUGUUGGGUGUAAAGGGAGCGUAGACGGUCCUGCAGGCCAGUGGUGAAAGCCCGUGGCUCAACCACGGGACUGCAGUUGGAACUGUAAGGCUAGAGUGUCGGAGAGGCAGGCGGAAUGCGUAGUGUAGCGGUGAAAUGCGUAGAUAUCAGGAGGAACCACAGUGGCGAAGGCGGCCUGCUGGACGAUGACUGACGUUGAGGCACGAAAGCGUGGGGAGCAAACAGGAUUAGAUACCCUAGUAGUC